UAGCUCAGUGGUAAAGCACAUGUUUGGCAUGUGUGAGGGCCUGGGUUCAAUCCCCAG
rnacentral:tRNA from 1 species